rnacentral:rRNA from 1 species
AGAGAAGCGCAAACGGUGGAUGCCUUGGCAGUAAGAGGCGAAGAAGGACGUGGAAUCCUGCGAAAAGCUAUGGGGAGCUGGAAACGAGCGUUGAGCCAUAGAUGUCCGAAUGGGGGAACCCGGCUGCAGCGAUGCGGUCAUUUGCAUUUGAAUACAUAGGAUGCAAAGGCGAACUCGGGGAACUGAAACAUCUAAGUACCCGAAGGAAAAGAAAUCAAGAGAGAUUCUCCAAGUAGCGGCGAGCGAACGGGGAGGAGCCUGGCGUGAUUUAUUAUUGAACUGAGUAGAACAAUUUGGGAAAGUUGGCCGUAGAGGGUGAAAGCCCCGUAUACGAAGGUUUGAUGAGGAACUAGGCACGCGAACAAGUAGGCCGGGACACGUGAAAUCCUGGUUGAAGAUGGGUGGACCAUCAUCCAAGGCUAAAUACUACUUACUGACCGAUAGUGAACCAGUACCGUGAGGGAAAGGUGAAAAGAACCCCGGAGAGGGGAGUGAAAUAGAAUCUGAAACCGUUUGCGUACAAGCAGUGGGAGCAUAGUUUAGGCUGUGUGACUGCGUACCUUUUGUAUAAUGGGUCAGCGAGUUACUUUCAGUGGCGAGGUUAACUGAAUAAGGGAGCCGUAGAGAAAUCGAGUCUGAAUAGGGCGAUAGUCGCUGGGAGUAGACCCGAAACCGGGCGAUCUAGCCAUGUGCAGGAUGAAGGUUGGGUAACACCAACUGGAGGUCCGAACCGGGUAAUGUUGAAAAAUUAUCGGAUGACGUGUGGCUAGGAGUGAAAGGCUAAUCAAGCCCGGAGAUAGCUGGUUCUCCCCGAAAGCUAUUUAGGUAGCGCCUCGUGAAUGAUUACUGGGGGUAGAGCACUGUUUCGGCUAGGGGGCUGUCAUGGCUUACCAAACCGAUGCAAACUCCGAAUACCGGCUAAUUGAAUCACGGGAGACAC